rnacentral:rRNA from 1 species
UGGGGAAUAUUGGACAAUGGGCGCAAGCCUGAUCCAGCCAUGCCGCGUGAGUGAUGAAGGCCUUAGGGUUGUAAAGCUCUUUCGCCGGUGAAGAUAAUGACGGUAACCGGAGAAGAAGCCCCGGCUAACUUCGUGCCAGCAGCCGCGGUAAUACGAAGGGGGCUAGCGUUGCUCGGAAUCACUGGGCGUAAAGCGCACGUAGGCGGAUCGUUAAGUCAGGGGUGAAAUCCUGGAGCUCAACUCCAGAACUGCCUUCUGAUACUGGCGAUCUCGAGUUCGAGAGAGGUUGGUGGAACUCCGAGUGUAGAGGUGAAAUUCGUAGAUAUUCGGAAGAACACCAGUGGCGAAGGCGGCCAACUGGCUCGAUACUGACGCUGAGGUGCGAAAGCGUGGGGAGCAAAACAGGAUUAGAUACCCUGGUAGUCCACGCCGUAAAACGAUGGAUGCUAGCCGUUGGGGGGUUUACCUCUCAGUGGCGCAGCUAACGCCUUAAGCAUCCCGCCUGGGGAGUACGGUCGCAAGAUUAAAACU